UUCUGUGUUUUUUGAAUGUUGGACCGAGCCUCUCCAAGCUUUGGGCCAUCAGAAGAUGCUGAUGAGAUCUGCAGCGACCAAACCAGAGGAGGAUCAUCUGGGCUGCCGACCUUCACAAAGAACACUGUGGACGUCCUAAAGCAGAACUCCUGUGAGGAACCGGGACCUCCAGGAUGGUGAGGAGCUUCCCAGUCCCCACCUGAGGACGGCACAGAGAAAGACUGGAACAGAAAACACACGGAGGAAAGCAGGUUGAACAGCUAGCAGUGUUCUAGCAGUCGGAUCACAUCGGAACAGAGACCAUCCACACAUGUUUGGAGGAGCUGAAGAAGAGGAUGAAGCACACAGACCGCUAAGGAGGAGAGACAUGGCUCCUAUAUUUCUCUUUAACAUUCUGGAGUCCUGGAGUAAAACAACGUUGACGACCCCGCAGCUAAACCACCAGUCUGCUCCACCCAGUAGAAGAAGAUGAGGUCAUCUGUUCCUUGGACGUCAGUAGAUGGGCUCUGACAUGGAGGUUCCUUCCUGUUUGAAGCUAGUUUUCCUCUCUACUGUCACCACUUCAUUGCUCAGGAGGGACUGCUGCAAAAUGAACGACUGGAUGUGAUUGGCUGAGCUUCCUUGGAUUGAAGACAUUUCUCUAAACGCCAUAAUAAGCUGAAUUUAUCUUCCCCAUGUUGUAAAUAGGAUUGGACUGGAUGUUUGUUUUUCAAUUUGAUUCUGUUUGUGUUGAAUUCUGUUACAUGUUUCUGUAUUAAAGCUGUCAUGUUAAUUGCCUUUAGAUGACAUUUGUUGGGACUUGUUUCUAUUUUAUAAGACUGUAUUAUAAUAAAUCCCCCUACUGGGUCUGUUUCUGUUGAAGUAUGUUUCCUGUCGUUCUAUCUUCUCCUGUUAUU